rnacentral:ncRNA from 1 species
GUGUUGCAUGAACAAGAGAAGUUUAGCACUUCCCUAGACAAAGAAGAGACUGUCAGGCAUCACAGUGAGCGUAUGUUUAAAGCGUAGCUUCAGGGGUUGGCGUCUAAUCGUUGCUUUUU